UACAGAGGUCUCAAGCGUUGUUCGGAUUCAUUGGGCGUAAAGGGUGCGUAGGCGGCGCGGUAAGUCGGGUGUGAAAUCUCGGGGCUUAACUCCGAAACUGCAUUCGAUACUGCCGUGCUUGAGGACUGGAGAGGAGAUUGGAAUUUACGGUGUAGCGGUGAAAUGCGCAGAUAUCAGGAGGAACACCGAUGGCGAAGGCAGGUCUCUGGGCCACUACUGACGCUGAGAAGCGAAAGCAUGGGGGAGCGAACAGG
rnacentral:rRNA from 1 species